AUCCAGCUGACGAGUCCUAGAUAGGACGAAACGCGCAUCCUGAAU
rnacentral:hammerhead_ribozyme from 1 species